rnacentral:rRNA from 1 species
CAGUCGCCGCGGGAAUACGAAGGGGGCUAGCGUUGCUCGGAAUGACUGGGCGUAAAGGGCGCGUAGGCGGCGAUCAAAGUCAGGCGUGAAAUUCCUGGGCUCAACCUGGGGGCUGCGUUUGAUACUUGAUUGCUAGAGUGGGGAAGAGGGUCGUGGAAUUCCCAGUGUAGAGGUGAAAUUCGUAGAUAUUGGGAAGAACACCGGUGGCGAAGGCGGCGACCUGGUUCAUGAUUGACGCUGAGGCGCGAAAGCGUGGGGAGCAAACAGGAUUAGAUACCCCUGUAGUCCCUGUCUCUUAUAA